GAAUUGAGUUGCCCCCACCACAGAAUAGUGGGGUGUACAUGAAGAAUUUAUGGACUUAGAGAAAGGGCAGCUGUUUUGAACAUCAAUGGACAGCUUAAGGAAACAGAAUGACAAGUUAAAAUCCUUGAAUUCUAGGCUCACAGCACUGACUGAAAUCCAGGGAGUUUCUAGGAUCAAGAUAAAAGGAUCUCUUAUCUUUUGUUGCUGCAGGGACUGAGCUGGCAAAAAACAAAAUGUGGUAUUAGAGAUAGUAAAAUUAGACUAUCAGUUGAAUUCAGAGCUUUUCCUCGUCUCUUAUGUAAAAAUUAGAGAAUUGGUAGGGAAAGAGUAUUUUGGCACCCUGAACACUAACUCCCAUUGAUAGCCCAUUGACACUGAAGAAUACACUAUGAAAAUUCCUUGUACCUCUUCUUAAAGGCACCCAUCGUGACUUACCAGGGGAAGAAUGCCCUGGGAAAAUGGAAAUGCUAAGAUCUUUUCGAGGUUCUUAGACACAGCAUUAAACACAUUAAUCUAUUUUGCCCAUUGGGAGGAUUUUCUCUCUAAGACCUACUGGAUGACUUGUGGAGCUCAUGGGCAAAAUAAUGCCCCAAGAAGUCCAGUUUUCUCUUGUGCUUUGAUAAUAGUUUCAAAUUGCCUUAAAUGUCAACUUACCAGUAUUUAUGGCAAAUAGCUGCCAGUUUGCCUAGAAACUAGAUAAGGGAUCUCAAAGGAACUGAACUGGAGGACUAGUGGCAGAUUUUUUUUUUUUUUUUUUUGCGUGGGGAGAUUGGGGAAGAGAAGCAUGGAAGAAUUUCUUAAAAUAGGCUCAGAACAUAAAGAAUAUUCAUGCUUCAUGUUAAUCCAAAGGACAUUUCUAGCCAAACAGCUCAUAAUAUUUAGAUGGAUGAGCUAACCUAAUCUCUCAAUGUAGGUCAUCUUCCUUCUAUAGAAACUUUAGAAUUUAAUGAACAAAGUGACCAUAGUUGAAAAGAUAGCAGCUACUCAAGCACAACAACACAGGAUUCCCUUUACCUGUGUACCAAGAUAUUUUACCAAAAGUAGUAAAUGCAAACCUGUAAUACUAUAGGAUAAUUGUUUGGACAACUGUUUGCUUGGAAUCAGUUGAUGAUUGUUUUACUGCUUUUGUUAUGGAGAAUUCAUGUAAUGCCUCAAGUCAGCAUCAUUAUACCUUACACAACUGAAUGCUUUAUUCAAUGUCACUGUAUUUCUCAUAAUUUCUUCCAAACAAGGAACUCUAUUUCCUAUGAACAAAUCAGGAAAACGGGAUAAUGCCCUUAGGUUUGUUUAGUCUUAUAUACUUUUUUGAAGAAUAAGUUAGGUAUCAUGUCAUAGGAUAUUACCUAUGAUUUGAAACAUUUGAAACGUACACAUUUCUAUUUAUUUCACAGUCAGUAUACAAUAGAAUUGAAAUUAGUACUUCUCCCAAUUAAACCUAAUUAAUUAUUCACAAUAUAUUUAUUCCUAUCUCUGAAAUAAAGGGAACUACUGGUUUAGAAACUAGUAAUGUUCAAGGCAGAAAUGUUACACCAGGGUAUUCAGUGAUGGUUCCAUGGAGUAAACAUUGCCAACUGGUCAAUUCAGAAUCUCGUGACCUGAGUCAGCAAACAAUAAAAUGGGUUAGUGUGUUGUAUACGGUAAUUGAUAUUGAAAGUCAAGAGGAAAGAUAAUUUAUGAUACAUCAGGAAGGGUGGGUCUCCAGUUGGUUCCAUGGGUAAUUUUUAUGUGACCAUAUUUAUUUGUGAAAGAUUGAACUAUACAGAUAAAACUAGUAAGAGUUCAGAACCCCUAGGAGUGAAGGAUUUACAUAAGUCUACUUCUCCUUUCUUUCAGUUGCUACUGUGGCAAGAUCAAGACUGGAUCUAGGAGAUCUCGGUUCAAUAUGGAGAUUAUCCAAGGAUUCUGGUGUUGGAGCUAUAUGCUGUAACUGAAGAGGGUUAAAAUUGUCUCCUUUUGGGACAUUGAAACAUAUAGAAGGCUGCCCGGGAAGAGCAGGGCAGAGCUUAUAUUCUCUUUGAUCAGCUUCCCAGAGAAAAAGAAGGCCAGAGUGAAGCCAGAUUAGGAAGCAACAUGAAGCCAUGAAACAUAAUGAACAAUUCCAUGUUUAUGGAAGAAAAUUCUGGUAAUUAACUUACUUCAAACCGAAGAGCCAAGGAGUAGAAUCGUUACCUCAAGCAAUAUUGCCAGAGAACAUCCUGACACAUAGAAGACAAGCUCAAUGCUUGAUGUGAAAAGUUAUCUGCACGUACAGGACCAGUCCAUAAUACAAGUAGGUGUAUUCAGAUGAGGGCUGGGGGAUACAAAUGGAACACCAUCAAAAUUUGCUGUGAUCUUUUGAGGAGUGUCUGUUCAUGUCGUUUGCCCACUUUGUAGUGAGGUUAUUGUUUUUUUGCUUGUUGAAUUGUUUAAGUUUCUAAACAGAUGAAAAAAAUGCUCAACAUCACUAAUCAUCAGAUAAAUGCAAAUAAAAGCCAAAGUGAAAUAACAUCUCACACCACUGAGAAUGAUUAUUAUUAAAAAGAAAAAACAACAGAGGCUUGUGAGGCUACAGAGGAAAGUGAAUGCUUAUACACUAUUAAUGGGAAUGUAGUUUAGUUUAGCACCUGUUGAAAGCAGUUUGGAGAUUUCUCAAAGAACAUAAAAGAUAAAUACCAUUCUACCCAGCAAUCCCAUUACUGGUUAUAUAUACAAAAGAAAAUAAAUUCUUAUCAAAAGGACACAUGUACUUGUAUGUUUAUCACAGCACUGUUCACCAUAGUGAAGACAUGGAAUCAACCAAGGUGAUUAUCAAAAGGGGAAUGGAUAAAAAAAAAUGUGGUAGAUAUACACCAUGGAAUCCUAUGCUGCCACGAAAGAGAACAAAAUCAUGUACUUUGAGGCAACAGCAUGGAUGCAGCUGGAAGCCAUUAUCCUAAGUGUAUUAACAGAAGAACAGUAAACCAAACAACACAUGGUCUCAUUUGAAAGUGGGAGCUAAACAUGUGUACUCAUGGACAUAAAGAUGGAACAAUAGAUUACGAGGGCUAACAGGAUUGAAAUACUGAUGAGUGGUAUCCUCACUGUCUGGGACACAGGAUCAUUUGGACCGCAAACCUCAACAUCAUGCAACACACCCAUGUAACAAGCCUGUACAGGUACCUCCUGAACCUACAAAAAAAAUUUUGACUUUUUUUUUUUUUUAAGAAUUUACUGCAAUCUUGGAAAAAUUUUUCUUCAAAGUCUUCCAAAAGCAUUUUCACUUUGUAUUUAUAUUUAGAAAUUCAAGCCAUCUAAAAUGAAAUCUUGCAUAUGGUCUGACAGGUGCCAACAUUAUUUAUAUAUAUAUAUCCAGUUGAGGUGGCAUUAUUUAUUGAGAAGAUGAAGCUUCCUCUAUGGCUCUACAGUUUCUCCUUUGUCAUAGAUUAAGUUUAUCCAUUUUUGUGGGUUUGUUUGUAAACCCUGUAUUCUGUUCCACUGGUCUAUUUAUCAACCCUUGUUUCAAUCCACACUGUUUACUUAGUAAAGUGUUAUAAGAUGAUUUUUAGCUAGUAGUAUAAAAUCUCUGAUUUGUAAUU